rnacentral:rRNA from 1 species
AUUGAACGCUGGCGACAUGCCUUACACAUGCGAGUCGAACGGCAGCACGGGUGCUUGCACCUGGUGGCGAGUGGCGAACGGGUGAGUAAUACAUCGGAACAUGUCCUGUAGUGGGGGAUAGCCCGGCGAAAGCCGGAUUAAUACCGCAUACGAUCUACGGAUGAAAGCGGGGGACCUUCGGGCCUCGCGCUAUAGGGUUGGCCGAUGGCUGAUUAGCUAGUUGGUGGGGUAAAGGCCUACCAAGGCGACGAUCAGUAGCUGGUCUGAGAGGACGACCAGCCACACUGGGACUGAGACACGGCCCAGACUCCUACGGGAGGCAGCAGUGGGGAAUUUUGGACAAUGGGCGAAAGCCUGAUCCAGCAAUGCCGCGUGUGUGAGGAAGGCCUUCGGGUUGUAAAGCACUUUUGUCCGGAAAGAAAUCCUUGGCCCUAAUACGGUCGGGGGAUGACGGUACCGGAAGAAUAAGCACCGGCUAACUACGUG